GACGAACGCUGGCGGCGUGCCUAACACAUGCAAGUUGAGCGACGAACCAGGGCUUGCCCUGGGGCAAAGCAGCGAACGGGUGAGUAACACGUGGGUAGCCUACCCCGAUAACCGGGACAACCCGAGGAAACUCGGGCUAAUACCGGAUGUGCUCACUGGACUUCGGUUCAGUGCGUAAAGGAAGCUUCGGCCUCCGUAUCGGGAGGGGCCCGCGGCCCAUUAGUUUGUUGGUGAGGUAACGGCUCACCAAGACCGCGAUGGGUAGCUGGUCUGAGAGGACGAUCAGCCACACUGGGACUGAGACACGGCCCAGACUCCUACGGGAGGCAGCAGUGGGGAAUCUUGCGCAAUGCGCGAAAGCGUGACGCAGCAACGCCGCGUGGGGGAAGAAGGCCUUCGGGUUGUAAACCCCUUUCAGGAGGGACGAAGGUUCGGCGGUGAAUAGCCGUCCGGACUGACGGUACCUCCACAAGAAGCCCCGGCUAACUACGUG
rnacentral:rRNA from 1 species